rnacentral:tRNA from 1 species
AAUUAUUUAGUUUAAGUUAAAAUGGGGUUUUGAUGGGGCCUAGAUUUAAUAAUUA